rnacentral:rRNA from 1 species
GAUGAACGCUGGCGGCGUGCCUAAUACAUGCAAGUCGAGCGAACGGACGAGAAGCUUGCUUUUCUGAUGUUAGCGGCGGACGGGUGAGUAACACGUGGAUAACCUACCUAUAAGACUGGGAUAACUUCGGGAAACCGGAGCUAAUACCGGAUAAUAUUUUGAACCGCAUGGUUCAAAAGUGAAAGACGGUCUUGCUGUCACUUAUAGAUGGAUCCGCGCUGCAUUAGCUAGUUGGUAAGGUAACGGCUUACCAAGGCAACGAUGCAUAGCCGACCUGAGAGGGUGAUCGGCCACACUGGAACUGAGACACGGUCCAGACUCCUACGGGGGGCAGCAGUAGGGAAUCUUCCGCAAUGGGCGAAAGCCUGACGGGGCAACGCCGCGUGAGUGAUGAAGGUCUUCGGAUCGUAAAACUCUGUUAUUAGGGAAGAACAUAUGUGUAAGUAACUGUGCACAUCUUGACGGUACCUAAUCAGAAAGCCACGGCUAACUACGUG